rnacentral:rRNA from 1 species
AUACGGAGGGUGCAAGCGUUGUUCGGAUUUACUGGGCGUAAAGGGCGUGUAGGCGGAUAUGUAAGCUGGAGGUGAAAGCCCCGGGCUCAACCCGGGAACUGCUUUGUAGAACUGCAUAUCUAGAGAAAGUCAGAGGCAGGUGGAAUUCCUGGUGUAGAGGUGAAAUUCGUAGAUAUUAGGAAGAACACCAGUGGCGAAGGCGGCUUACUGGCUCGAUACUGACGCUGAGGCGCGAAAGCGUGGGGAGCAAACAGGAUUAGAAACCCUAGUAGUCC